GUCUAUAGAGCUCAUUUGCAGAGCAUCUCCUUUCCCUAUCUUCAAUGCCUUUAAUAAAUGUAAAACAUUACUACCUUGUGUCUUGUCAAAUUCUUUGUUCAGGGAAAGAGCCUGAAAAGGAUCCUGGAAAGAGCACAGCACCCGAGAACCCCAAUAACAGUUUUGGCAAACCAGUCAGGAGAAAUUCAAGUUAUUUGAAAAUGUGUGACUGAGGGCCUGAAUAGAACAAAGGGACAACUGAUAAAAAGUCAUGUCAAUGUGCUGUUGUGGCUCUUGCAAUAGCAGCAGUGUGAUUAGAGAAUGGGUUCCAGAAGUAGCCAGAUCUGGAUUUGAAUCCUGGCAUUGCUGCUGGAAGCAUCUGGACUCUGCCUGCUGAUAUCUACACAUAAAGUGAAGGCUGCUGAGGGUUGAAAAUGGGAGAGACAAGAAUCAAAGCAAAGGAGCCAAGUCUAGUGAAAUCUGGGUCCCUCUGAGAAUUUGUCAUCAAACAUAUUUCGAAUCCAUCAAAGAUAUUUUUAAAUUAAAUGAGUUUAGCUUUCUGGGCAGAGAGGUCUGGAAAAAAGUGCCUGUGUCCCCCCCACACCCUGUCCCCACACCUCUCCUUUCACCUUAGAGCUUCCUUUUCCAAGAAUAAAAGG